AAGCAAGACCAGCACUCGAGAUGCACCUUGUGUUCCUGAUCCGAUCUACCAAGCGUCCACAUCCAUGUAUGUAGCCUACUGGGAAGUGACUGGUUUCAACAUUUCUUACACUGAUGUCCAGAUAUCUAUUGAAAGAAAAUUCCAUGGGUCAGAUGAUCUGUGGCACACUGUAGAUGGGUACACAAGUCUAGGAGUCGCUGACAAUGCAGCGUUAAGUGGACUUUCUCUUGACCCUGGACACACUUACAGGGCUGCCGUCAUGUUCUGUGUCGUGAGAGUCUGCACCAGGCCCGUGCACAGCAAUGGUGUGACUGUAG